rnacentral:lncRNA from 1 species
ACGAAAUGUGUCGAUCGGUUCAGCUUACACUUUAAAUGCAUCACCCGUCAUUUGUAACAGAUUUGUAGCAAAUGCAAAAAAUUUAGGGACAUGAAGGAACUAAAAAUAAAAGUGCUACCAAUUGGAAUAUACUAGUACCAAGGACACAUGAUAUAUAGGGUCUACAAAAGAAUGAUUACUUUUUUAAAUACUAAGGAUUUUCUUAUUCCAGGCAUUUAUUACCUUAGUCGUAUUUGGC